GGAGAGGUGUCCGAGCGGCCGAAGGAGCACGACUGGAAAUCGUGUGUAUGCCCAAAGCGUACCGAGGGUUCAAAUCCCUCCCUCUCCGCCA
rnacentral:tRNA from 1 species